GAGCCACAGUCAAUGAGCAGUGCUGGGAACCACUUACUCUCCCUUCUGGUGCUCCAGCUGGAUCACUGGCGCCAGGUUUUUAAGGAAGUACAUGGUGCCUUCGUCUCUUUUGGUGUGGCAACCCAGGCCAGCUGUGCACAGAUGUGCACCUUCCCAGCAGCAGCAAGGCCAAGUUCACUCUAAGCAAGGACUGAUGCCCUCAAGCCUGAGCUUGGCCAGCAGCCACCAACAGGGAGAGAUGUGAGGACAGCAGACCCUGCAUUUGAGGCCUCCAUGGCUUGAAUCCCUGCUUUCACCACCACCAUCGCUCCAGCACUGUCCUGGAGAUGCCUCCAUGCAGUACUGUGGGAUAAACCCGGGCACUCCCUCUUUCACUGCCCAUGGGAGGGUUGCUCUUUCUUCCUGCAUGUGGGAAGUGGCGGAAAAGUCCUUUGAUUGAUUAAGUUCAUGGUCAUCAUGAUAGGCUCAGGUACCAACAGAGGUCCAGCUGUUUGAACUUCAAUAUAUGUGGCAAGACUAUAACAAGCUGCUUCCCAAGGUUUGGACAACUGGAAACCCACUGGAUAUCAGGCAAGAGCACCAGGGCACGCAUUGAAAUCACUGUAUCUGGUUCACAGAGUGUAAAGUUCUUCACAUGAAUACUGGCUGUGGGAGGCAUUAAAUCUCAUUUGUUAAAUCCUC